UACAGAGGUCUCAAGCGUUGUUCGGAUUCAUUGGGCGUAAAGGGUGCGUAGGCGGCGCGGUAAGUCGGGUGUGAAAUCUCGGAGCUUAACUCCGAAACUGCAUUCGAUACUGCCGUGCUUGAGGACUGGAGAGGAGACUGGAAUUUACGGUGUAGCGGUGAAAUGCGUAGAUAUCGUAAGGAAGACCAGUGGCGAAGGCGGGUCUCUGGGCCGAUAUUGACGCUGAGGAGCGAAAGCGGUGGGGAGCGAACAGG
rnacentral:rRNA from 1 species